GUCUGGAAGGACAGUCAGUAAAGCAUGAGACUCUUAAUCUCAGGGUUGUGGGUUCAAGCCCCACAUUGGGACA